rnacentral:tRNA from 1 species
GAAAUAAGCUUUAGCAAAAUUAAGCCGCUAACUUAAAUUUAAGCGAUUAAAAUUCGUUUUUAUUUCU